rnacentral:rRNA from 1 species
CUGGCUCCGGACGAACGCUGGCGGCGUGCUUAACACAUGCAAGUCGAGCGAGAAGCCAAUGUUUGAUUCUUCGGAAGAUUACUUUGGUGGAAAGCGGCGGACGGGUGAGUAACGCGUGGGCAACCUACCUUAUACAGGGGGACAACAUCGGGAAACCGGUGCUAAUACCGCAUAACACAUUGAAAUGGAAUCAUUAUGAUGUCAAAGGAGGAAUCCGGUAUAAGAUGGGCCCGCGUCCAAUUAGCUAGUUGGUGAGGUAACGGCUCACCAAGGCGACGAUUGGUAGCCGAACUGAGAGGUUGAUCGGCCACAUUGGGACUGAGACACGGCCCAGACUCCUACGGGAGGCAGCAGUGGGGAAUAUUGCACAAUGGGGGAAACCCUGAUGCAGCAACGCCGCGUGAAGGAUGAAGGUCUUCGGAUUGUAAACUUCUUUGAUUGGGGAAGAAGAAGUGACGGUACCCAAAAAACAAGCCACGGCUAACUACGUGCCAGCAGCCGCGGUAAUACGUAGGUGGCAAGCGUUGUCCGGAAUUACUGGGUGUAAAGGGCGUGUAGGCGGGGAUGCAAGUCAGGUGUGAAAGCCCAUGGCUCAACUGUGGGACUGCAACUGAAACUGAAUCUCUUGAGUACUGGAGAGGGAAGUGGAAUUCCUAGUGUAGCGGUGAAAUGCGUAGAGAUUAGGAGGAACACCAGUGGCGAAGGCGGCUUCCUGGACAGUAACUGACGCUGAGGCGCGAAAGCGUGGGGAGCGAACAGGAUUAGAUACCCUGGUAGUCCACGCCGUAAACGAUGGAUACUAGGUGUAGGAGGUAUCGACCCCUUCUGUGCCGGAGCUAACACAUUAAGUAUCCCACCUGGGGAAUACGACCGCAAGGUUGAAACUCAAAGGAAUUGACGCGGGCCCGCACAAGCAGUGGAGUAUGUGGUUUAAUUCGAAGCAACGCG